rnacentral:rRNA from 1 species
AGAGUUUGAUCAUGGCUCAGGAUGAACGCUGGCGGCGUGCUUAACACAUGCAAGUCGAACGAACCUUCGGGUUAGUGGCGGACGGGUGAGUAACGCGUGAGAAUCUGCCCUCAGGAGGGGGAUAACGGUUGGAAACGACCGCUAAUACCCCAUAUGCCUACUGGUGAAAUGAAUUUCGCCUGAGGAUGAGCUCGCGUCUGAUUAGCUAGUUGGUGAGGUAAUGGCUCACCAAGGCUUCGAUCAGUAGCUGGUCUGAGAGGAUGAUCAGCCACACUGGGACUGAGACACGGCCCAGACUCCUACGGGAGGCAGCAGUGGGGAAUUUUCCGCAAUGGGCGAAAGCCUGACGGAGCAACGCCGCGUGAGGGACGAAGGCCUCUGGGCUGUAAACCUCUUUUCUCAAGGAAGAAGAUAUGACGGUACUUGAGGAAUAAGCCACGGCUAAUUCCGUGCCAGCAGCCGCGGUAAUACGGGAGUGGCAAGCGUUAUCCGGAAUUAUUGGGCGUAAAGCGUCCGCAGGCGGCUUUUCAAGUCUGCUGUUAAAGAGUGGAGCUUAACUCCAUCAUGGCAGUGGAAACUGAAAGGCUUGAGUAUGGUAGGGGCAGAGGGAAUUCCCGGUGUAGCGGUGAAAUGCGUAGAUAUCGGGAAGAACACCAGUGGCGAAGGCGCUCUGCUGGGCCAUUACUGACGCUCAUGGACGAAAGCCAGGGGAGCGAAAGGGAUUAGAUACCCCUGUAGUCCUGGCCGUAAACGAUGAACACUAGGUGUCGGGGGAAUCGACCCCUUCGGUGUCGUAGCUAACGCGUUAAGUGUUCCGCCUGGGGAGUACGCACGCAAGUGUGAAACUCAAAGGAAUUGACGGGGGCCCGCACAAGCGGUGGAGUAUGUGGUUUAAUUCGAUGCAACGCGAAGAACCUUACCAGGGUUUGACAUCCUGCGAACCUCUUAGAAAUUUGAGGGUGCCUUCGGGAAUGCAGUGACAGGUGGUGCAUGGCUGUCGUCAGCUCGUGUCGUGAGAUGUUGGGUUAAGUCCCGCAACGAGCGCAACCCACGUUUUUAGUUGCCAGCAUUUAGUUGGGCACUCUAGAAAGACCGCCGGUGAUAAACCGGAGGAAGGUGUGGAUGACGUCAAGUCAUCAUGCCCCUUACACCCUGGGCUACACACGUACUACAAUGCUACGGACAAAGGGCAGCAAACUCGCGAGAGCUAGCAAAUCCCAUAAACCGUGGCUCAGUUCAGAUCGUAGGCUGCAACUCGCCUACGUGAAGUAGGAAUCGCUAGUAAUCGCAGGUCAGCAUACUGCGGUGAAUACGUUCCCGGGCCUUGUACACACCGCCCGUCACACCAUGGAAGUUGGCCAUGCCCGAAGUCGUUACUCCAACCCUUGUGGAGGAGGACGCCGAAGGUGGGGCUAAUGACUGGGGUGAAGUCGUAACAAGGUAACCGUA